UUCGAGCAUGGCGGCGGCGAAGGUGAAUCUGGACAUGCCCCCGCCGGGGGGCUACGGCCCCAUCGAUUACAAGCGGAAUCUUCCCCGUCGGGGACUGUCGGAGAAGCUCACAGCCUAACUGAGGAGACACAUUUCCCGCCUUGACAGAGCCAGGGAUAGCCAGGGCCUGCUUAGGGUAGGCUGGAAGGACUUCUCUGAAGAGCUCCUCAGGUGCAGGAAACAGCAGGGGGCUUGACCCCACUGGGCCGGGAGGCAGCCGCACCCUGGGAGCCCAGGGGUGCUGAGUGGCCCCUGGAGGGGACUGAUGCCUCUGGAAGCCCUAUCCAGCCCCCUGUGGGCUGCAUGCAGGGAGGUGGCCCAGGCAGCCACCAUGGAGCUGGGACCCAGCUGCAGACAACAUCCCAACUCAUGAGGACCCACGUGCUGCCUGGAAACCAAAUGACCUUCUAGAAGGUUGGUGGGGCUAGAACCACCCAACCAUAAGCAUCUAGACUCUCGGGCCUUCCUGCAGACCCCACCCGGUUCUGCAGCCCCUACCUUCUGGAAGCCCUGGCCUGGGGGCAGAGCGGGUGGCUGGGACAGAGGGUAGUCUGCACCUGCUGAGGAGGGGGUGGCUGUGGGAGGGGCUCUGGACCCUCCACAAAGACAAAAAAUACAUGAUAGACAGGACCCUGGCUUUCCCCUUCCUACCCCCGACCAUGUUUCUGGAGUAUUUGCACAGUGAGCAGGCAGACGUCACGGGCAGGCGCGGCACGGGAUGGCCUGUCUGGCGUGUGCAGGCACUGAACUGGCCCCCGUCUCCCCACACGCUACAACAUGUUUGCUGUGGGCAUUGGGGCCCUGCUCUUCGGGUACUGGAGCAUGAUGAAGUGGAACUGCGAGCGCAGGCGCUUGCAGAUCGAGGACUUCGAGGCCCGUAUUGCACUGAUGCCACUGCUGCAGGCAGAGAAGGACCGGAGGUGGGGCU